rnacentral:rRNA from 1 species
UUUUUGGGCUUGGUAAUUGGAAUGAGGGAGAGUUAAACGGACCAUCGAGUAUCCAUUGGAGGGCAGGUCUGGUGCCAGCAGCUGCGGUAAUACCAGCUCCAAUAGCGUAUAUUAAAGUUGUUGCAGUUAAAAAGCUCGUAGUUGGACUUGUGUGCGCUGUCCGCGGGUGGCCUGCGCCCAAAAGGGCGUUUCGGUUCGGCCCCGGUGGCGCCUUGAAAUCUGCAGCUGGGGGGACGUUGGCCUUAACUGGUCGGCGACCGCACGCCGGCUGCUCGGUUACUGUGAGAAAAUUAGAGUGUUCAAGGCAGGCAUUGGGUGCAAUUGAAUACAUUAGCAUGGAAUAAUAAAAUAUGGCUCCUGCCGUAUUUUGUUGGUUUUGACUGGUGGGAGUAAUGAUUGAUAGGGACGGUUGGGGGUGCUAGUAUUGAGCGGCCAGAGGUGAAAUUCAUGGAUUCGCUCAAGACUAACUUAUGCGAAAGCAUUCACCAAGGACGUCCUCUUUAAUCAAGAACGAAAGUUGGGGGAUCGAAGACGAUCAGAUACCGUCGUAGUCUCAACCAUAAACUAUGUCGACUUGGGAUCGGCGGUAGUUUUUUCAUUAAGACACUGUCGGGACCACGGGAGAAAUCAAAGUGUCUGGACUCUGGGGGAAGUAUGGUCGCAAGGCUGAAACUUGAAGGAAUUGACGGAAGGGCACCACCAGGAGUGGAGCCUGCGGCUUAAUUUGACCAACACGGGGAAACUUACCAGGUCCAGAGAUGUAGAGGAUUGACAGAUUGAAGCUCUUUCUUGAUCACUUCGGUGGUGGUGCAUGGCCGUUCUUAGUUGGUGGAGUGAUUUGUCUGGUUAAUUCCGUUAACGAACGAGACCUCAGCCUGCUAGUGUAGUCGGCUGGAUUGCCUUUGGCGAUCCGUGAUUUCGACUUCUUAGAGGGACAAUCGACGCGCAGUCGAUGGAAGUUUGAGGCAAUAACAGGUCUGUGAUGCCCUUAGAUGUUCUGGGCCGCACGCGCGCUACACUGCUGGGCUCAGCGAGUUUUACUUGGCCGAGAGGCCCGGUUAAUCUUGUGAAAUCCCAGCGUGCUUGGGCUCGCCUCCUGCAACUGGAGGCGCCAACGAGGAAUUCCUAGUAGACGCAGGUCAUCAACCUGCAUCGAUUACGUCCCUGCCCUUUGUACACACCGCCCGUCGUUCCAUAAGAGUGAGGCAUCCGGUGAAUUCUCGGGAGAGCCUGGGCGUGGCCAGCAAUGGUCUGCUCGGGUUUGAACUUGCAUAAACUUGGUGCCUAUGAUUAGGG